AGCUCACACACAUUGUGCCUUAUCUGCUGAGCCACCUCCUUGUUCUGAGCAGCAAGCAGCUGGGCCUGUAGGUACUCCACCUAAGAUGAAGCUCUUAAAGGCUAAACGAUACCAUGUGUCUGUGUCAGGUAUGAGCUUGUGCUCUCUCUCUCUCUCUCUCUCUCUCUGAAAGUGAUUUAUUUAUUUAGGUUUUUGUUUUUUUAAGUAGAUGACCCUGAGAUCAAGAACUGUGCUGAGAUCAAGAGUCUGACCCUUAACCAACUGAGCCACCCAGAUGCGCCCCCCGCCCUUUCUGAUUGUGAUGUAAGCAGAAGGAGAGGGAAGGUCUGGAAGUCAUCCCAUUGCAGGAGUUUUUAUCUAGGUCAGCCUGGAAAGGAAGCUUCAGGAACACUAGAAAGACUUGGCCCAGAGACCUUGGGUCUCUACCACCUUGUUCCCUAAGCCUAACAGCCAUGACAAACAAAGGGGGGCAGCAGGACAGAGAGAGGGAUCUGGAUCAGCUUUGUUCCAGGCUUUACUUCUAGACUAUUCCUUAUACAUUCUGUGGACUCCAUGGGGAUGUAAGAGAAUGAGAGGAAGAGGACUAAGGGAGACCCUCUGUGCACUUGUUACAGACCUGAUCUACUACUCAGAGGACACAAAUCCUGUUCUAAUAGCACUGAAGAUUAAAGAGAGUUUGAAGCUAAAGUACAGUUGA
ensembl:lncRNA